AUAAGGUGCCGGAAUGAGCAGAUUCAACUCAAGGGGCAGAGGUUGCAUUGCAGCCCUGUAGGAAUGAGGGGGAGUUGGAUCUCCUUCUUCUCCUGCGCAACCAAGUGCUGAGAGGAGGCUGCAAACCAAACCCAGCCCAGCCCUCCAAUCUCCCUGGCCUCAGUUUGCUACUCUGGGUUCGCCUCCACCACUGCCGCCCUGCCCACAUACUCUUAGCUUCAACAUGCAAAUUGGGUUUGUAAAAAAACCUCGAGGCUGGGGUCCCUGAUUGGUUGCUGGGCUGGGUCCAGGGUGGGUUUUUCUUCUCUGGGAUUACCUCCCCUUGAAAGCAGUUCAGCUGAAGCCCAGCUGGACAGCAUUCAUCUCUCACACAGGACUUCAGCAGCAGACUAGAGCUCUCCACAGGUCAGGAGAACGUCUGAAGAUGGAGACCUCAGCCAGGAAUGUUCCUUCCUACAUUGCCCUCUCUAUUUUCAACUUGUUUUGCUGUUGUUUGCCACUUGGAAUUGCUGCUCUGAUUUUCUCUCUUCAGGUGCAGAAUGCCGCUAGCACGGGAGACAUGGCCAGGGCAUCCAAAUCGUCCCGCACCGCCCGUUUGCUGAACAUCAUUGGGAUUGUCACUGGAAUAAUUAUUAUAAUCAUUGUGAUUGUGAUUUAUGCUGUUGGGGCAAGUAAACACCGUUGAAAGAGAUGGUCACCUGCACUCCCAGAGCAUGCUUCUGCCACAGCCCAUGUGGGGUAGAGCCAGCUUAUUCCGACGUGAGCAACGAGAGCUAUCCGCUAGCAAGAAGACCACUUCCAAGCUACCAUGAUGAGAAGUUGUCUGUGUGUAUAGAGAGUUGCUACUCUUCUGUAUUAUCGCUCAGUGGUUAAUUGCUUUGCCUUUGAAUAUUCAACUGUACAUGCUGCACUUAUCACUGUGUAACAACUUCAAUGCCAAUAAAACCAAAAUGCUGUAUGUGGACCUCACUGUAUGUUAUCCACUCCCUGGGAUUAUUAAACACAUUUGGAUCCCAUCA